CACUCGCUCGCCGCCGUGAAGUCGUGCACACGCCGUCCGCCGUAUACACUCACACUGAUACAAAUGUCGAUGAAGUUUAGAAGAAGCAUUUUAUGUGACAGGACUAAGUGAAUUUGUUUCGAGUGACGAGAAGAAAGAACUAUCCGCCAUUGGUGAUUGUAUCACGAGAUAGCAGCGAGACGAUGAGAUGGAGAUACAGAGAGACACCGAAGACGACAUAGAUGAUAGAGCGUGAGAUGGAUGGCUACAAACAUGGAUUAAAUCUGAAUCUCGCAACUACGGUAUACGGUGACGUCACAUCACCGACGGCACAUGCAGAAAAGACGAAGUCUGUAGCCACUCGGUCUUCCUAUAGCUUUGGCCUUGACAGAUAUGUUGCUGCAUGGCACGGGUUUCGCGCUAAAGACUGUAGAACGUCAGCAACGAUUGUACAAGUGAAGAAAGAGUGUUGUGUUCUUGCAUGCUUGCGCGCGAGUGCGUUUGUGUGUGCGGGUGUGAGUGUGAG